GCCAAGUUCACAUACUGUAUAUUUUUUUGCAGCCCUUUGUGAUUCCUCAAGGAAAACAGAACAAAACAGAGUCUUCAUUAACAAAUACGGAAAACAUUAAAUUAACACUCUAACAAGACAUAAAGAAAUGAUGAAGGACGUGGUUCGGUAGAUAAUAGUCAUCAUACUAUUAAACAGCUAGUCAUGCAUUAGUACUAACAGUACUUGUGGUACUAUUUGUUAUUACAAUAUAGUAACUCAUCAUCAUGUAUAAAUAUCAAAUUAAUAGGUACACUUAAAUUUCGUAGUAAUGCAUGGCACAUAGUCAGUGAGAGUCUUCAUUAAUUUUCACACAAUCAUUAGAUUUUUAGCACGUAACGCUCUUAGAGCAAAGUCAGUCAAUUUUAAUAAUAUUUUAUCGGUAGUUCUUACAGCAAACGUCGAUAUAGAUUUAAUAUUUUAACUUAACUAAUUGUUUAAAUUAGUGGCAAGGAUAGGCAGUAGACAAUGGGCGGAACCCGCAGCAAUUGUUCCAAAUCCAAUGAGAAAGUGUCGAAGGGGGCAUGGGACUAGGUAACCUGAGUAUCAGGCUCUAUUUUACAAAUAGAGCCUGACACAAGACUUAACCUGAUCGCUUUCCGCCCACAGCAAAGUUUAUAUUUAGUAUCCAAUCAAAAUGUCGCAAGAGAAAUUUAAAUUU
rnacentral:lncRNA from 1 species